rnacentral:rRNA from 1 species
UACGGAGGGAGCUAGCGUUGUUCGGAAUUACUGGGCGUAAAGCGCACGUAGGCGGCUUUGUAAGUUAGAGGUGAAAGCCUGGAGCUCAACUCCAGAAUUGCCUUUGAUACUGCAUGGCUUGAAUCCAGGAGAGGUGAGUGGAAUUCCGAGUGUAGAGGUGAAAUUCGAUAGAUAUUCGGGAAGAACACCAGUGGCGAAGGCGGCUCACUGGACUGGUAUUGACGCGUG